rnacentral:lncRNA from 1 species
CUUUCCUCUCACUUCUCUCAUCUCCCUCUCUCACAACGACCUUUCUUUGUCUCAUCUCUCCUGUGUCUAUGUCGUGGCAAGCAUGGUGCUUAGGCGAAUGUUGGAAGUGUGGUCGUACUUCAUAAGUAGCAGUUAGGGAUGCACACAAGCAAAGGUGGGCAGGGGCUCCAAUGUUCAGGUAGAGGAGAAGACGGAAGAUGAAGCCACUGGCCGCAUCAGGCAUGUAUAGCUGAUCCAUGGCCAUGCAUAUUUGUGUCGGAAUGGUUAAGCUUGCGGCAAUUCGGUACAGUCAACUUUGAGGGUUCUUGCCUUGUCUGAGUCUUUUGUUUGAGGCGACCGAUUUGGGUUGUUUUGUCUUACAAAUUUUUCUAAUUUCAGCGAGGAGUUAGAUUGACAUCGAGUCAUGCUCGUGCUAUAAGCUUUAUACCUAUCUUUGUAGACCAAAGCUUUUGUAGACAAGAGCUGACA